AGUGAACGCUGGCGGUAGGCCUAACACAUGCAAGUCGAACGGCAGCACAGGAGAGCUUGCUCUCUGGGUGGCGAGUGGCGGACGGGUGAGGAAUACAUCGGAAUCUGCUCUGUCGUGGGGGAUAACGUAGGGAAACUUACGCUAAUACCGCAUACGACCUACGGGUGAAAGCAGGGGACCUUCGGGCCUUGCGCGAUUGAAUGAGCCGAUGUCGGAUUAGCUAGUUGGCGGGGUAAAGGCCCACCAAGGCGACGAUCCGUAGCUGGUCUGAGAGGAUGAUCAGCCACACUGGAACCGAGACACGGUCCAGACUCCUACGGGAGGCAGCAGUGGGGAAUAUUGGACAAUGGGCGCAAGCCUGAUCCAGCCAUACCGCGUGGGUGAAGAAGGCCUUCGGGUUGUAAAGCCCUUUUGUUGGGAAAGAAAUCCAGCUGGCUGAUACCCGGUUGGGAUGACGGUACCCAAAGAAUAAGCACCGGCUAACUUCGUGCCAGCAGCCGCCGUAA
rnacentral:rRNA from 1 species